AGCCGCGGUAAUACGUAGGUGGCAAGCGUUGUCCGGAUUUAUUGGGCGUAAAGCGCGCGCAGGCGGUCUUUUAAGUCUGAUGUGAAAGCCCCCGGCUUAACCGGGGAGGGUCAUUGGAAACUGGAAGACUGGAGUGCAGAAGAGGAGAGUGGAAUUCCACGUGUAGCGGUGAAAUGCGUAGAUAUGUGGAGGAACACCAGUGGCGAAGGCGACUCUCUGGUCUGUAACUGACGCUGAGG
rnacentral:rRNA from 1 species